CCUUAGAGUUUGAUCCUGGCUCAGGAUGAACGCUGGCGGCGUGCCUAACACAUGCAAGUCGAGCGGAGUUACUGUUAAAGAAACCUUCGGGUGGAUGAGGUAGUAACUUAGCGGCGGACGGGUGAGUAACACGUGGGCAACCAACCUUGAUCAGGGGGACAACACUGGGAAACCAGUGCUAAUACCGCAUAUCUUUACCGGAUGGCAUCAUCUGGCAGAGAAAGAUUUUAUCGGAUCAAGACGGGCCCGCGCCUGAUUAGCUAGUUGGUGAGGUAAUGGCUCACCAAGGCGAUGAUCAGUAGCCGACCUGAGAGGGUGACCGGCCACACUGGAACUGAGACACGGUCCAGACUCCUACGGGAGGCAGCAGUGGGGAAUAUUGCACAAUGGGCGCAAGCCUGAUGCAGCAACGCCGCGUGAGCGAUGAAGGCCUUCGGGUCGAAAAGCUCUGUCCUAUGGGAAGAAGAAGUGACGUACCAUAGAAGAGCCCCGGCA
rnacentral:rRNA from 1 species